UACGUAGGGCGCAAGCGUUGUCCGGAAUUAUUGGGCGUAAAGAGCUCGUAGGCGGUUUGUCGCGUCUGCUGUGAAAACCUCAGGCUCAACCUGGGGCUUGCAGUGGGUACGGGGCAGACUAGAGUGCGGUAGGGGUGACUGGAAUUCCUGGUGUAGCGGUGAAAUGCGCAGAGUAGUCAGGAGGGAACACCGGUGGCGAAGGCGGGUCUCUGGGC
rnacentral:rRNA from 1 species